rnacentral:misc_RNA from 1 species
UCCGGCUUGUCACCGGCAGUUCCCCUAGAGUGCCCGGCCGAACCGAUGGCAACUAAGGGCGAGGGUUGCGCUCGUUGCGGGACUUAACCCAACAUCUCACGACACGAGCUGACGACAGCCAUGCAGCACCUGUGUGGCGUCCAGCCGAACUGAAGAAACCCGUCUCCGGGAACCGUCGUGGCAUGUCAAGGGCUGGUAAGGUUCUUCGCGUUGCGUCGAAUUAAGCCACAUGCUCCGCCGCUUGUGCGGGUCCCCGUCAAUUCCUUUGAGUUUUAGCCUUGCGGCCGUACUCCCCAGGCGGGGUGCUUAAUGCGUUUGCGACGGCACGGAAGGGGUUGAUGCCUCCCACACCUAGCACCCAACGUUUACGGCUGGGACUAC